AAUAGGCGGCGUAAAUAUUAACAAACCAAUUAUAACGCCAAAACGACGAGGGAUAAACUUGGCGAUACUUUGUAUACCUAUUGUAAGAGGGAAACGGUACAUGUUACGGACCGUGAUACGGGGCAGUGUAGACGGGCGUAGGGACGUAAACUCAUUUAAAAAAAUCAAAACGAAAUCGUAAACGAAUUUAAUAAAAAAAAAACUCUGGCGGCCGUAGCUGUUUUGGCGUACCGACACCAAAAUGUGCUGGGGGGGAAAAUCCGAUUCCGUAUAGCGACGGAGCUCUGCGGCUCACGGGUAGCGAAUGUUCUAUCCGUCGCGUUAGAUUUAACACUCAUAUGCAUCCACGCACGCGAUCCAACUGUUUAAUAUUAUAGACCGUUUUAUACUGAAACGGCGUGCCCAGAAAUGUUCAAUGGAAGGGGACGUAGUAAAUGAGAAUUGCGAAUAAAUCGUAAAAUCGUCUUGUCUACCCGGCUCCGACUAUGGGAAUUGGUAAUUUAAAAGCCGGAUCCUAAAAAAAAAAGCCAAUUUCUAACCAAUACAUCAGACUGUUCCUCGUAACUCGGCUAAAAUAUAAUAUCUGUUUCGGUAUUAGAUUACUAAUAUUUUGUUGUAUUUUUAAACCAA